rnacentral:rRNA from 1 species
GGGGGCUAGCGUUGCUCGGAAUCACUGGGCGUAAAGCGCACGUAGGCGGCUUUUUAAGUCAGGGGUGAAAUCCUGGAGCUCAACUCCAGAACUGCCUUUGAUACUGAGAAGCUUGAGUCCGGGAGAGGUGAGUGGAACUGCGAGUGUAGAGGUGAAAUUCGUAGAUAUUCGCAAGAACACCAGUGGCGAAGGCGGCUCACUGGCCCGGUACUGACGCUGAGGUGCGAAAGCGUGGGGAGCAAACAGG